rnacentral:rRNA from 1 species
GUGGGGAAUAUUGGACAAUGGGCGAAAGCCUGAUCCAGCCAUGCCGCGUGUGUGAAGAAGGUCUUCGGAUUGUAAAGCACUUUAAGUUGGGAGGAAGGGCAGUAAGUUAAUACCUUGCUGUUUUGACGUUACCAACAGAAUAAGCACCGGCUAACUUCGUGCCAGCAGCCGCGGUAAUACGAAGGGUGCAAGCGUUAAUCGGAAUUACUGGGCGUAAAGCGCGCGUAGGUGGUUCAGCAAGUUGAAGGUGAAAUCCCCGGGCUCAACCUGGGAACUGCCGCCAAAACUACUGAGCUAGAGUACGGUAGAGGGUAGUGGAAUUUCCUGUGUAGCGGUGAAAUGCGUAGAUAUAGGAAGGAACACCAGUGGCGAAGGCGACUACCUGGACUGAUACUGACACUGAGGUACGAAAGCGUGGGGAGCAAACAGGAUUAGAAACCCGGGUAGUCC